CUGUGAGCCAAAUCUGGGUUGCCAUUCAAACUUUUCCUGGCUGCUUUUCCAUGCAGGACAGCUGAUCAAUAAAGCCAAGUCCAGCCUGGCUUGCUACAGGUUUCACCAGUCAGUGCUUGCAAAACCUUUGUCAUUUUCUAAAAAUAAAAAAGCUAAAAGUUAUUGUAGAAGAAGGGGCUUUUUUUUGUCCCCUGCACAAUGUGUCUUUUGUGAGGUUAAUGCCAUUCUGGGCUCUUGAUAGCCCUGGACAAUGGGGAACUCUCUAGGAGCCUGCAAAGACUCUAGCUUUUUUCUUUCUUGCUUUUUUUUUUUUUUUUUUUUUUUUUUUAAGGGAAGGAUGAAACAUUCCUACAGUCCAAACACAACCUCUACUUUGAUUAAAUAAAUAUUUAUCUUUAUUGUAGCCAUUGUAUAUUUUUACCUUCAGUUUGUCCAGUUUCUGAUUAUUAUUUUAAAUUUUUCAAUGGCAACAGUUAAUCUUUUUUUCUUUCCCUUUCAGUCCAAAGGGCAGGUCAGUGUAAAAUGUAGCUGACUGAAGGAAGACUGGUAAAUUCUGAAUUUUUCCAUAAUAUAUCAGGAGGAUUGUGGACACAGAAACAAAAAAAAAAAAAAAAAAAAAGGAAGAAAGAAAGAAAGAAAAAAAAAAAAAAAAACCCGUGUGGAGGCAGGAGAGGUUGGAAGGACGCCUCGCCGUACAACUCCAGAGCUAGAUCUAAGGAAGGGGUUGGAGGGUGAAGAAUGUGCGAGUCCCUUUUUGAAUGUGUAUUGUUAUUCUAAGUCUAUUGUAUGUACGUAUUGCAGUCCUUUCAUUUGCCACAACAUAUGGAUUCCAUAAAUGCAGACAUGCUGAAGUGCAUCUGUCUGGGUAGUUAACAUGAUCUAAACAUCCCUCCUCGUUCCGCUAACUCCGGCUCUUCUUCGGGCUCCUCGGCAGCGCUCUGGGCCAGCCGGCCCGUGCCCCAGGCUCGCAGUGCCGGGCAGCCUCGUCCUUUUGUGGUCUCUGCACGGGAUCCAAGGUGCCGCGCGGAGGAGGCGGGCUGCUCGCAGUGCCGGGGUCAGAGGCGCCGCCACCGGCGGCCUCUGCGCGCGCGGGGAGGAAGGGGUUAAGCUGCCCGAGCCCGGGGAAGGGGCUGCGCUCAUCCUGGAGUGAGGUGCCGCCACCGGCAGCUGUGAUUUAGGGGUCAAGUCCGAGAUCACCUUUCUCCUGCCUCUGGAAAUGGCAGAAGAUGAGCUAGGGAGGGAGAAACUAGAGAGUGGCAGCCAGGCGCAGCACGUGG
rnacentral:lncRNA from 1 species